rnacentral:rRNA from 1 species
AUUGAACGCUGGCGGCAGGCCUAACACAUGCAAGUCGAGCGAGCGGCGGACGGGUGAGUAAUGUAUGGGGACUGCCCGAUAGAGGGGGAUAACUACUGGAAACGGUGGCUAAUACCGCAUACUAUCGGAUAACCCAUAUGGGAUUACCUAGUAGGUGGGGUAAAGGCUCACCUAGGCGACGAUCAAUAGCUGGUCCGAGAGGAUGAUGAGCCACACUGGGACAGAGAAACGGCCCAGACUCCUACGGAGGCAGCAGUGGGGAAGAUAGCACAAUGGGCACAAGCCUGAUGCAGCCAUGCCGAGUGUAUGAAGAAGGCCUUAGGGUUGUAAAGUACUUUCAGCGGGGAGGCGUUACCCGCAGAAGAAGCACCGACUAACUACGUGCCAGCAGCCGCGGUAAUUC